rnacentral:rRNA from 1 species
AUUGAACGCUGGCGGCAGGCCUAACACAUGCAAGUCGAGCGGAGCGGCGGACGGGUGAGGAAUGUCUGGGAAACUGCCGGAUGGAGGGGGAUAACUACUGGAAACGGUAGCUAAUACCGCAUCCUAGCAGAUGAGCCUAGGUCGGAUUAGGUAGUUGGUGGGGUAAAGGCCUACCAAGGCGACGAUCCGUAACUGGUCUGAGAGGAGGAUCAGUCACACUGUAACUGAGACACGGUCCAGACUCCUACGGGAGGCAGCAGUGGGGAAUAUUGGACAAUGGGCGAAAGCCGGAUCCAGCCAUGCCGCGUGGGGGAAGAAGGUCUUCGGAUUGUAAAGCACUUUAAGUUGGGAGGCGUUACCAACAGAAUAAGCACCGGCUAACUUCGUGCCAGCCGCCGCGGUAAUUC